GAAGAAAUUUUAGAAGCUUUUCCUCCGAUAAGAGAGAAAUACCAGCUUAGUGCAAGAAGGGACGAGGAGGAGACUCCAUUGUGUUUUGGUGCAAAUAUUUUUCUAACAACGGAUGACGUCAAACAUAAGGCGUAACUGAUGACGCAAAAGCGAGUGGUGACAUCAAACACCAAAAAAGAGCGUCGGCGAGUAGACGGGUAGAAAAAUGUUUUUAUUGUUGCUCAACCAUCACAUGCCACCACAGCGGAAAAAUCGGUUGCUAGAGAAAUAUAGGAAGAAACGCCGUGUGAACCAUCAUGGAAACAGGACUUAUGCGCUGCUUGCGUGCCUCCAUAAAGUUUGGUCUUCAGCACAGAACCGAGCUACUGAUAGUCCCUCAGAAGAAUGGUCUGACUUUCACCUUUGCAAGGCCCCUUACAGAAAACAAACUGACAGGUGGUACCGAGAUGGGAUCCUUUAAUUUCGUUCCUCUGCAAGGUCUGGCUUUACACCUAAGGGUUUAGUAGACUCAAGAUGACACUGAAAAUAAAGGAAAGGUCGGUGGUGGGAAGGGGGUAAGAGGGCAAGAGCAACAGAUAUUGACAUCCAGAAAUUCACUGCAAUGAGGAACAGAAAAAAAAUGUUUUCCUUCAAAUCUCCAUUUUCAUCGGAGACAGCAAAUAAAACAUUCUUAAUUUGGA